GGGCGGUGGCCAAGUGGCUAAGGCACUGGAUUGCAAAUCCAGCACGCGCGGGUUCGAAUCCCGCUCGCCC
rnacentral:tRNA from 1 species